UACGAAGGGAGCUAGCGUUGUUCGGAAUCACUGGGCGUAAAGCGCACGUAGGCGGAUGUGUCAGUCAGGGGUGAAAUCCCGGAGCUCAACUUCGGAACUGCCUUUGAUACAGCACGUCUUGAGUCCGAUAGAGGUGGGUGGAAUUCCUAGUGUAGAGGUGAAAUUCGUAGAUAUUAGGAAGAACACCGGUGGCGAAGGCGGCUUCCUGGACCGACACUGACGCUGAGGCGCGAAAGCUAGGGGAGCAAACGGG
rnacentral:rRNA from 1 species